GGACACUGAAUUUUUUAUUUCGCUUCUUUGUUUAGCUGCAGUGAAAAAUUUCAGUGAUGAAAGUUUCUGCUCAAAGCGAAGCAAUGAUCACAGGCACACGAGGUCGUCAUGGAGUGUUUUGCCAUGGAUUGUGUUCAACGAUUCGCUACUGAACAAGUUCGAUGAUGUCAAACAAAUCUCCAACUGGUUCUUCAAAGGGCAUAUUUUGAGCGACUUUAUCGAGAUUUUAUGAGGAGACAGUUUGACCUGAUUCGAGACGCGAUCGACGAAGAGGUGGUCGAGGCUCGGCUUGAGGAACUCUAGCCCAAAAUGUCCGAUCUGUGAUCGGUGAUCGAGAUGCCCGACACCGAAGCAUCGGUUCUGUCAUAACAAAAUCACCCAAAUCUCAAAUUAAAAAUCUCAAAUUAAAAUAUCUGAGUCAGGCAUUCUUUGCUCAAGAUCCGCGUAUAAAUAGCUGUGCGUUGAUUUGCUAUGCGCUCGAGAAGCUACCGCUGCCCCAGAAGUAGGUGCUCGACGAAUUGCGGCAUAUGCUGAGCCCGUUUCUGGACGAGGAUCUGCGGAUGCAGCAAUGGGAUAGCAUUUGAAGGAAUCAUUAUGUUAUUUUU